UACGUAGGGUGCAAGCGUUUAUCCGGGAAUUAUUGGGCGUAAAGAGCUCGUAGGCGGUUUGUCACGUCUGCUGUGAAACUGGAGGCUCAACCUCCAGCCUGCAGUGGGUACGGGCAGACUAGAGUGCGGUAGGGGAGAUUGGAAUUCCUGGUGUAGCGGUGGAAUGCGCAGAUAUCAGGAGGAACACCGAUGGCGAAGGCAGAUCUCUGGGCCGUAACUGACGCUGAGGAGCGAAAGCAUGGGGGAGCGAACAGG
rnacentral:rRNA from 1 species